rnacentral:RNase_P_RNA from 1 species
UCAGGCGGCCGGGCGGCUGCUCCCGCAAGCUCCGAAAGGACGCGGGGGAGGAAAGUCCGGGCUCCGCAAGGGCAGGGUGCCAGGUAACGCCUGGCGGGGGCGACCCCAGGGAUAGCGCCACAGAGAACAGACCGCCGGCCGCUUGCGGCAGGCAAGGGUGAAACGGUGCGGUAAGAGCGCACCGCCCCGACCGUAAGGAAGGGGGCAUGGCAAGCCCCACCCGGAGCAAGACCGAAUAGGAAUGGAUGCUGGCUCGUCCGGCACACCCGCCCUUGGGUGCCAUUCGGGUAGGUCGCGUCAGGCACGCCGCGAGGCGUGUCGCAGAGGAAUGGCCGCCGCGUUGUUUCCAUCCCGGAAACAGCGGCACAGAACCCGGCUUACAGGCCGCCUGACCCC